rnacentral:rRNA from 1 species
AGAGCGAACGCUGGCGGCAGGCUUAACACAUGCAAGUCGAGCGGGCGUAGCAAUACGUCAGCGGCAGACGGGUGAGUAACGCGUGGGAACGUACCUUUUGGUUCGGAACAACACAGGGAAACUUGUGCUAAUACCGGAUAAGCCCUUACGGGGAAAGAUUUAUCGCCGAAAGAUCGGCCCGCGUCUGAUUAGCUAGUUGGUGGGGUAAUGGCCCACCAAGGCGACGAUCAGUAGCUGGUCUGAGAGGAUGAUCAGCCACAUUGGGACUGAGACACGGCCCAAACUCCUACGGGAGGCAGCAGUGGGGAAUAUUGGACAAUGGGCGCAAGCCUGAUCCAGCCAUGCCGCGUGAGUGAUGAAGGCCCUAGGGUUGUAAAGCUCUUUUGUGCGGGAAGAUAAUGACGGUACCGCAAGAAUAAGCCCCGGCUAACUUCGCGCCAGCAGCCGC